AGCCCUUUGACAAUGGGCAAAGAGACACCUUGUUGGUGGUGGUGUUCUUAUAUCAGUCAAGGGCAGAGCAGAGGGCAGUCCUUUGUUCAUCUAGGUUCAUUCCUGGCUUGGUGGCCAAAGCUGCCUUAUUCCUAGGACUCGUAG